rnacentral:rRNA from 1 species
ACGCUCGACACCUACGGGAGGCAGCAGUCGGGAAUAUUGCGCAAUGGAGGAAACUCUGACGCAGUGACGCCGCGUAUAGGAAGAAGGUUUUCGGAUUGUAAACUAUUGUCGUUAGGGAAGAAAAAGGACAGUACCUAAGGAGGAAGCUCCGGCUAACUACGUGACAGCAGCCGCGGUAAUCUGAGCGGGCUGGCAAGGC